rnacentral:siRNA from 1 species
UGUGUGUAUGACGUAGAGUAUC